rnacentral:rRNA from 1 species
GAUGAACGCUGGCGGCGUGCCUAAUACAUGCAAGUCGAGCGAACAGAUAAGGAGCUUGCUCCUUUGACGUUAGCGGCGGACGGGUGAGUAACACGUGGAUAACCUACCUAUAAGACUGGGAUAACUUCGGGAAACCGGAGCUAAUACCGGAUAACAUAUUGAACCGCAUGGUUCAAUAGUGAAAGGCGGCUUUGCUGUCACUUAUAGAUGGAUCCGCGCCGUAUUAGCUAGUUGGUAAGGUAACGGCUUACCAAGGCAACGAUACGUAGCCGACCUGAGAGGGUGAUCGGCCACACUGGAACUGAGACACGGUCCAGACUCCUACGGGAGGCAGCAGUACGGAAUCUUCCGCAAAGGGCGAAAGCCUGACGGAGCAACGCCGCGUGAGUGAUGAAGGUCUUCGGAUCGUAAAACUCUGUUAUCAGGGAAGAACAAAUGUGUAAGUAACUGUGCACAUCUUGACGGUACCUGAUCAGAAAGCCACGGCUAACUACGUG